AAAUCAAUUUUUUGUUUUUACUACUUGCAAUUAUUGGUACUUUUAACUUUGAUUUUUCUUUGACAGUCUUUUUUAAUACAAUUUUAUUGUUGUUUAUAACGUUAAGUGAAAUCAAUUUUUCGUUUUUUUUUUUCGUUUUUACUACUUGCGAUUGUUAAUACUUUAGUAGUACAUAUUUGGGCCACUUGGGGGAAUUGCCCGAGCUUCCGCUAAAACUCCACGCGCGCUCCGUGGGAAUCGCGCCCGUUCGGGCGUUUGGCGGCUCGCCAUCCUCCGAGUGGUCCGUAGCCCUGACAAGGGCAUUUUAAAAUUUUUUGUUGGUGGUUUUUUAAGUUGUAAAUUAUUGGUGAACGUUCCGUAAUGCUGGCGUGUGCAAGUACGUUUUUAAAAUUUUUUAUUUUUCGUUUUUUUAAAAAAUAUUGUAUAUACCUAUCUACCUACUGGAAAAGUUUUUUAGGCGUUUGGUGGUUUGCGUUCCCACGUACCCCCUAGCACUGGCAGUUUUAUUAUUUUUUCUAUAAUCUUAGCAUUGGGUGGUCUAGCUAGUACUCCUGUAUUUUUUUUUCAAAACUAUGGUGUUUAAAAAUUACCUAUGGUUGGUUUUUACAGAAAUGAAAGUUGCAGUGUACUAAUUGAAGGAAUUUCAUGUUUUGAGGGUUGUGGAAUUGAAAGUUGCACUGAUGGAGAAGAAACUGUGAACGUUGUCACUGAAAAUGAAAGUUGCAGUGCACUAAUUGAAGGAAUUUCAUGUUUUGAGGAUUGUGGAAUUGAAAGUUGCACUGAUGGAGAAGAAACUGUGAACGUUGUCACUGAUGAAACUGUUUCUGAUAAAUCUAUGGAAUUUGAUGAGUAGAUUUACCAAAUGAGAAAAUUGAAAAAAACCACAGAUAUCCUACUCCUGAAGUGGUCCCAGAUCCUUUGAUAUACAUAGGUACCCCCAAUAGGUAUUAUGCGUAUGGCGAUCCAUCACAACGAUGGAAAAUUGCCAAGGGUGCUAGAAGGUUGGAUAUACAAGAACGAGAACCCUUCAAUGAUGAUAUAAUUCUGUUGGGCGAAGAAAAUCAGAAAUCUAAUGAUUCUGUUGAAGAAUCUGAGUUGGAGUCUAAAAAUUCCAUUGAGGAGAUAAUGAGUGGAACAUUUUCCAACAUGCUGGAAAUCUGGCAUUGUAUGCUUCAUCCCUAAACCGGAUCGCGAUCUUGAAACAUUUAUGAAGGCUACAGGCCAAUCUCACUCCUCCCGACGAUUGGUAAAAUCUUGGAAAGAUUGAUAAAAAUUCAACUCAAAUUAUUUGCCGAGGAUUUUCAUAAAAUACACGAUAUGCAAUUCGGAUUUCGCAAGUUACGAAGCACAGAGAUGGCCAUACAUGAACUACUUAAAAGUAUUGGUGAUCAUAAAAAAAUUAUCGUCUUGUUGGACUCACAUCGUUAGACAUCUUCGGCGCCUUUGAUAAUGCGAGAUGGGCAGAUAUAAUAAACCAAUUAAAUUUCAUAUGGUUCUCUAUAAAUAGCAACGAAUAAACAAUAGUUAAUAUUUAACAACUCGAAUGUAUAAACUUGACGUCUUUUUUUUCAAUUUUCUAAUUUAACGUUUCAUUUAUAUUGAAAAGGUUUUCCCCCUCGGGAGGUUUUCCUAUCAAUAUGUGAUAUUCUUAUUAAUUACCGUUUCAAUUUAUAUUGUUUCGUAUUACGUUUAAUACCCAUUUUAGAAGUUUACUAUUAUUUUAUUAAUCAUCACGUCACGCUUAAUCUUCAGAUAUCCUAGUCUUUAAGAUAAUCUGUCUAAACUUAAUGUUAAAUUUACCGAUUUUUGUAUUCUUUAAUGUCGCGCAAUUCAAGUUAACAUUUCAAUUUUAUAGUCUCGUUUCACCACUAGGUUUCCCCCACUGGGGGUUUUUUCCUUGUAAUUUGCGUUUUACCUUUAUUUAAUUUACAUAAUUAUGUAUGCAAAUUAUUAACCAGCAUUAUCGUUUGUAAAUAUUUUUAGAGAUGUAAUUUCUGAUAAACCGAAAGGUAUUGAUUUUACGAGUAUAUCUUGUAUAUGAAUAUUUGCGAAUAAACUUCUCCCACCCUUUGGGACUGGGAUCGCCGAAAAAAAAAGGUGAAGUGGCAGUGGCAA